rnacentral:lncRNA from 1 species
UUUUUUUUUAACAUAGCCAAAUAAGAUGACUGGGGAGAAAACAGAUUAACACAAAAGGUCCCACCUGUAAGGGCAACUUCCUAAAGCUAGAUAUAUAGAACCGAUGGUUUUAAACAUAAAACUUGAUUAUGUAGAAGUUUGCAAAUGAAAUAUAUCACGAAAGCAAAUUCCCAUGCAGCUUUAUUCACCUCAACCAUGUGUAAUCUACUUAAGGUGACUAGUGCCACUAUAAGGCAUUACUGUCCCAGGGUGACAAGAAGCAAUAUUUAUACUCAAUUCCUGAAACUGGGGGUCUGAUAUGCUUUUUAAAAAUCCUAAACUAACUAAUAUCAGUAGCCAUGGAGUCAUCGGCUUGAGGGUAAACUAAUCCCUUAUACCACUUGAUUUAUUUUAUUAAUUAGUUAAUAAUGCAGUUAAUUUUCAACUGCAAAAAGAAAAAAUUAUUUUGUGGAGUAGAAAGACCACAGCAAUAAUUACUUGAUGCAAAAAAUAAGACACCUUAAUUGUAUUUGCUCAAAUCUGUUGUCUUAAUGAUACCAAUAUGUAUCAUUAUAAUCUAUUUUUUAAAAAUUUUCCUCAUUAUGCCCUAGAACAUCAUUAUACUCUAAAAAGUCAAAUUCCAUUUCCUUUAGAUUUCCUUAAUGUUGCUUGUGGACUGAUGUAGUGAUAUUUUACAUUGGAGCCCACCAAUGAUUUGAACAAUGAGUGGUUCAACCCUAGUCUAAAUUGUGCUUGAAACAGCACCUCUAGCCACUGAGAGAUAACACUCAAAGGCACCAAUAACAGUUAUAUUCUAGUCUACAGGUGCAAAAAGGAGGCCUUGUAGAUUCUAACUAUAGAUACUGGCUACUUAUGCCUCAUAAUUCCAAUACAUACAUCCACUGUAUUUUAGCCAGAUUCAGGACCUUACACACAAUUCUGUGCCUUAAUUCUAUACGCAAUUUUAGGAACCAUCCCAACUGCAAAGGCACUCAAAUUUUUAUAUAUUUGGGAUGUAAUAAAUUAUUAUGCUUUUUUUUUUUUUGAGACGGAGUCUUACUCUGUCACCCAGGCUGGAGUGCAGUGGCAUGAUAUUGGCUCACCACAACCUCCACCUCCCAGGUUCAAGCGAUUCUCCUGCCUCAGCCUCCUGAGUAGCUGGGAUUACAGGUGCCCGCCACCACACCCAGCUAAUUUUUGUAUAUUUAGUAGAGACAGGGUUUCACCAUUUGGGCCAGGCUGGUCUUGAACUCCUGACCUUGUGAUCCACCCACCUCGGCCUCCCAAAGUGCUGGGAUUACAGGCGUGAGCCACCGCGCCCGGCCUAUUAUGCUUUUAAGACUCAGAAGUAUCUGGCCACUACUGAUGUUUACAAAGUAGGAAAUUUAGCCUGUACCCAGCACUUUGGGAGGCCGAGGUCGGUGGAUCACCUGAGGUCAGGGGUUCAAGAUCAGCCCAGCCAAAAUGGUGAAACCCUGUCUCUACUAAAAAUACGAAAAUUAGCCAGCUGGGCGUGGUGUCAUGUGCCUGUAAUCCCAGCUACUCGGGAGGCUGAGGCAGGAGAAUUGCUUGAACCUGGGAGGUGGAGGCUGCAGUGAGUGGAAAUCGUAUCACUGCACUCCAGCCUGGGCAACAGAGCGAGACUCCGUC